rnacentral:lncRNA from 1 species
UCCAAAACCCCAGUUGCUGAAAUAUUGGCAUACUCUUGAAGGAUUAGAGAUGAUUUUAUAGUUCUGAAGUCUGAGAUGCUGAAAGAAACUGUUUUUUGUGAGUUCACCAGAUCUGUUGCUAGCAAGAUCACUAAAACAACAUUAAAUAGUUUCUGGAUAUUAUUAGUUGGAAAUAAAUUAGCCAUUGUAUUCAAGCAUGUUUUCAUAUACUAAAUAAAUGACCGAUGAUUUUAGUUGUG